GAGAAGGAGCCGAGUCACGGGCUGGAGCUCGGGUAGAGCCCUACGGGGCGAGGGGCCGGCGCUGCCGGGCGGGGGUGCUGUCACCCGCUGCGGGGAGGGCGUCGCGAAUUCCUGUCAGGAGCAGCAGGCGCUUCCCUCUACCCUUCGUGCCUUUUGGGCUCCCUGGAAGGCACAGAGCUUGGCUUGCUGCUGAAGAAGGUCCUUCUUUAGCUUUCUUUGCUGCAGGAUACGUUUGAUUCAUCAUCAUCCUCAACAAAUAUAAAGAUACGAGGUGAAGGGGACCCAGCAAGCCCUACUGCAUCACACAGUAUCUGGACGUAUGCUUCUACAUUUUGUCUACUUGAGAAGUUUUGAAAUGAAGUUUUGAAGGAUUUUUCCAUAUAUUCAUGACAACUUGCUGCAUUAAGUUAGCACAUACUGAUUGCUAUUUAGUUCUCAAAGCAUUUUGAAACUAACAUCAGGAUAUUUCGAGGCUGCUUUCCUAAAUGUUACAGUAGAAAUGUGAACCUUACUGAAGUUAUUAGUAUCCUGUUCAGACACAGAAGCCAGCACGAGGAACUAAAAUGGUAGGUGUUCACUGCAACCUUUGUUUAAAGUUACAGAAACUAUAAAUGGUCAAGGCCUCAGGACAUCCUCUUACUUCCUAGUGUAUAUCAGGUGGUUGUACACUGCACAUCAUCCUGGUGUUUUCUUCAGUCGAGUUUUUAAUACUCCAGUCAGGAGACCUUACCACUUCCUAUAGUCAGUUCCUAUAUAUGGUUCCCAUUUAUUGAAAGGUUUUCAUUUUCAGGUAGCUUAUAUUUGCCCUAGCAUUUAAUUCUAUGACCACUUAGUAAAUUCUAUUACCAGUAUUUACUUGCUAACAACAAUUUUCAGUAUUACAACACAGUUUACCACAGUACUGCAUUGUUUAGAGAAGUGGGAUCUGGAAUGACCUAUGUGCCUUAUUAAGGAACAUUGCAAAGAUGCAUGCAUACUCUAAAUUUCAAAACCCGUUUUAGAUUAACACUUUUCUAGCUGAUUAUUCUUAAUUCUGGAUUUAAAACAUUCAGAAAUCUGUAGAUGAGCUUGUUCCCUCUUUUUCUCAGGAACUGAUCUCACUAGAUAGCUGGAUUAUUUUAAUGUCUACCCUCUGUAGUUAUCCCGCGUUUCUUCCUUCAUGAUACACUGCUUUCACAUAUGAAACACAAAACAUUUGCUUUUAGGAUUACUAUUUUCAU